CGCGGGGUGGAGCAGCCUGGUAGCUCGUCGGGCUCAUAACCCGAAGGUCGUUGGUUCAAAUCCAGCCCCCGCAA
rfam:Proteobacteria bacterium SG_bin7 418, whole genome shotgun sequence.